CCUACGGGAGGCAGCAGUGAGGAAUAUUGGUCAAUGGGCGGAAGCCUGAACCAGCCAAGUAGCGUGCAGGAUGACGGCCCUACGGGUUGUAAACUGCUUUUAUACGGGAAUAACGCGCCUUACGUGUAGGGCUUUGCAUGUACCGUAUGAAUAAGGACCGGCUAAUUCCGUGCCAGCAGCCGCGGUAAUACGGAAGGUCCGGGCGUUAUCCGGAUUUAUUGGGUUUAAAGGGAGCGUAGGCCGCAUGUCAAGCGUGUUGUGAAAUGUCCGGGCUCAACCCGGGCCUUGCAGCGCGAACUGGCGUGCUUGAGUCAGCGGAAAGCAGGCGGAAUUCGUGGUGUAGGGGUGAAAGUGUUAGAUAUGACGAAGAACCCCGAGUGCGAAGGCAGCUUGCUGCAGCGGAACUGACGCUGAUGCUCGAAAGCGCGGGUAUCGAACAGGAUUAGAUACCCCAGUAGUC
rnacentral:rRNA from 1 species